rnacentral:lncRNA from 1 species
AGUUCCGCUUCCGGCAGCGCGAGAUAAAUCACGAGAGGAAGCUUAAAUCUGUCGUUUGAAUUUAGGACCACCUCGGUUCACAAUGGUCCGUAGUGGAAAAAAUGGUGACCUUCAUCUUAAACAGAUUGCAUAUUACAAACGAACUGGUGAAUAUCAUUCAACUACACUGCCAAGUGAGAGAAGUGGCAUAAGAAGAGCAGCAAAAAAAUUUGUCUUCAAAGAAAAAAAGCUGUUUUAUGUUGGAAAAGACAGAAAACAAAAUCGUUUGGUAAUUGUUUCAGAAGAGGAAAAAAAGAAAGUCUUAAGAGAAUGCCAUGAAAAUGACAGUGGAGCUCAUCAUGGUAUAUCCAGGACCCUCACUCUGGUAGAAUCCAAUUAUUAUUGGACAUCUGUGACCAAUGAUGUCAAACAGUGGGUAUGGCUUAUGUAUUUAGAGUAUUAUGAAUAAUGUCUUUCUGAUAGAUACUUAAAAUUUAUUAUUUCUCCAGAUUUAUUCUGGGUAUCACCUCUCAUUAAGUAUUUUUGGCAAUCACUUAAAGGGAGUUGUAUUUCCCUUCACAGUUAUUU